rnacentral:rRNA from 1 species
UACGGGGGGGGCAAGCGUUGUUCGGAAUUACUGGGCGUAAAGGGCUCGUAGGUGGCCAACUAAGUCAGACGUGAAAUCCCUCGGCUUAACCGGGGAACUGCGUCUGAUACUGGAUGGCUUGAGAUUGGGAGAGGGAUGCGGAAUUCCGAGGUGUAGCGGUGAAAUGCGUAGAUAAUCUGGAGGAACACCGGUGGCGAAGGCGGCAUCCUGGACCAACACUGACGCUGAGGAGCGAAAGCCAGGGGAGCAAACGGG